GUUGCUCGGAAUCACUGGGCGUAAAGCGCACGUAGGCGGAUUGCUAAGUCAGGGGUGAAAUCCUGGAGCUCAACUCCAGAACUGCCUUUGAUACUGGCGACCUUGAGUCCGGGAGAGGUGAGUGGAACUGCGAGUGUAGAGGUGAAAUUCGUAGAUAUUCGCAAGAACACCAGUGGCGAAGGCGGCUCACUGGCCCGGUACUGACGCUGAGGUGCGAAAGCGUGGGGAGCAAACAGG
rnacentral:rRNA from 1 species